rnacentral:tRNA from 2 species
GCCCGCGUAGCUCAAUUGGCAGAGCACAGCAUUCGUAAUGCUGAGGUUGUGGGUUCGACUCCCACCGCUGGCU